CACGUAGUUAGCCGGUGCUUAUUCUUCAGGUACCGUCAUUAGCCCAGGAUAUUAGCCCGAGCCGUUUCUUCCCUGACGAAAGAGCUUUACAACCCGAAGGCCUUCUUCACUCACGCGGCAUUGCUGGAUCAGGCUUGCGCCCAUUGUCCAAAAUUCCCCACUGCUGCCUCCCGUAGGAGUCUGGGCCGUGUCUCAGUCCCAGUGUGGCUGGUCGUCCUCUCAGACCAGCUACUGAUCGUCGCCUUGGUGAGCCUUUACCUCACCAACUAGCUAAUCAGAUAUCGGCCGCUCCACAAGCAUGAGGCCCGAAGGUCCCCCACUUUCAUCCGUAGAUCGUAUGCGGUAUUAGCGUAACUUUCGCUACGUUACUCCCCCACUUCUGGGUACGUUCCGAUAUAUUACUCACCCGUUCGCCACUCGCCGCCAGGUUGCCCCGCGCUGCCGUUCGACUUGCAUGUGUAAAGCAUGCCGCCAGCGUUCAAUCUGAGCCAGGAUCAAA
rnacentral:rRNA from 1 species